AGUGAACGCUGGCGGUAGGCCUAACACAUGCAAGUCGAACGGAAGCACAGUAAGAGCUUGCUCUUACGGGUGGCGAGUGGCGGACGGGUGAGGAAUACAUCGGAAUCUACUUUUUCGUGGGGGAUAACGUAGGGAAACUUACGCUAAUACCGCAUACGACCUACGGGUGAAAGCAGGGGAUCUUAGGACCUUGCGCGAUUGAAUGAGCCGAUGUCGGAUUAGCUAGUUGGCGGGGUAAAGGCCCACCAAGGCGACGAUCCGUAGCUGGUCUGAGAGGAUGAUCAGCCACACUGGAACUGAGACACGGUCCAGACUCCUACGGGAGGCAGCAGUGGGGAAUAUUGGACAAUGGGCGAAAGCCUGAUCCAGCCAUACCGCGUGGGUGAAGAAGGCCUUCGGGUUGUAAAGCCCUUUUGUUGGGAAAGAAAAGCAGUAGGUUAAUACCCCGCUGCUCUGACGGUACCCAAAGAAUAAGCACCGGCUAACUUCGUG
rnacentral:rRNA from 1 species